UUCAACUCAAAAUUUAACUCGUCGUCGUUUCUGGAAAAAAAAAUUGAAGAGGAAAAAGCAUCACAUUCUAUCUUCCAACGUCGUCCUCGUCGUUGUCUCCUUCCUCUUCCAAAGCAAGAUGGCGGUUCGACGUCUUCCUCCGCUUCAGAGGCGAGGAUGUCCGCACCGGCUUCCUCCCUUCACGGUGGCAUUGACGCCUGCAGCGAUGAGGGCUCGAGGCGCGAGAUCCCGCCGGGCGGUCACGAAGGCUGUCGAGGAGUCGCGGAUCGCCGUGCUCAUCUUGUCUGAGGACCAUGCUUCGUCUCGGUGGUGAUUGAGUGAGCUCGGUGAAGGAAGGUGAUGGAGUGGAAGAGGCUCAAGGGGACAGCUGGUGUUGCCCCUGUUCUACGGAGUGGAGCCGGGGGAGAUUUGAUGGCAGAGAGAGAGGGGGUUAUGGCAAGGCAUUGGCCAGUCACUGAUUUGUCCGAUUGGCAUUAUUAUGACCAUGGCUAAUCACGGUUGCUGGGUAGAGAAUCUAAGAUCGUUGUUAAGACAGGCUUGGAUGAGGUUCGGAUGAUGGGAAUAUGGGGAGCGGGAGGUACAGGGAAGAGCGCUAUCGCUAAAGUUGUCUAUUAACAGUAUCACUAGUCAGUUUGGUGGGUGUGGCUUUCCAGCAAACGUUAGAGAAACUUGCAGUAAACCUGACGACCUGGUUCAUUUGUAGAAAGCACUCUUAUAUGAGAUAUUGUGGAAAGAAAAUUUAGUGGUCUUCAGUGUGGAUGGAGGCUUUAACCUGAUACGAGAUAGACUUUGCUGCAAGAAGAUUCUGCUUGUGCCUGAUGAUGUGGAUCAUGGGGACCAGUUGAAUGUAUUAGCCAGAGAAUGUGAAUGGUUUGGAAAGGGGAGCACGAUCAUUAUUAUGACGAGAUAAACAUGUAGUGACUUCUCACGGGAUAGAUUGGGUAUAUGAAGUUAAAGCAUUGAUCAAGAUAACCAAUGUUGUUAAAGGCAUAGUGCUGGACUUGCCAACACAGGAAGAGCUAGACAUUAAUCCCAGUGCUUUCACACAUAUGAGGAGACUCAUAUUGCUCCUAGUUCUGAAUGCACAGUUCCGUGGAGGUCCCAUAUGUCUUCCCAACGACUUAAGGUGGCUUGAAUGGAAUAUCCUUUAUCAACUCUGAAGUUUAGUUCUGGUCCAAAGAUACUUGUUAGGUUCGAUGUGCAUAACAGCUGGAUUAAAUAAUUAGGAGACAACUUAAAGGUAUCAAAAGCAACACUAAGAAGGUGUAGGUUUCGCCUUAUAUGCAUGCAAGCGGAGAAUGAUGUAAGGGUUCUAUACCAACAUGAAUUGCCCUUGGGAAGCACCUCAAGUUGUUACAGAUAAUCUCAGUUAUUGGAGAUAUUCCUGAUCCAUGGUAGAAAGGUCCACCUCUGGAUUGCAUUUAAUUCGAGAUAUUUGAUAUAAUGUGUAAUGUAACCUGUCGCAUUUGGUAAAUGAUUUUUGUACUUCGCUUUCAGCAACUUUAGUAGUUGUGCUGUUUCCUGGUGAGAUCAUUAUGACCCUCUUGUCCAUUUUCUAAUGUGUUUCUAUGGAUAUGUGACGAUUACAUUGGCUGUCACAUGAAGCAACUUCAUCUAGGUUAGUGACAAAAGAUGGAUGGGUGGGAUAUUUGUUGAUUUGGCCAGUGCUAAUUCUAAAUUUUGAAAUUGAACUGUAAGGGACUGAUUUGCAAAUGUCCCAAAUUAUACAUGUGCCAUUUCUAUUAUUUAGAAGCCGCAAAUUCGAAAAUUUGCAGCCAAAUUUAGCUUUAGGCAAUUGGGAGUUAUCCAAAUGCUGAAAUAUAAAUGGAUAUUGAAAGAAGUUAUGUAGAUC